UACGGAGGAUGCGAGCGUUAUCCGGAUUUAUUGGGUUUAAAGGGUGCGUAGGCGGUCGGAUAAGUUAGAGGUGAAAUCCCGAGGCUCAACUUCGGAAUUGCCUCUGAUACUGUUCGGCUAGAGAGUAGUUGCGGUAGGCGGAAUGUAUGGUGUAGCGGUGAAAUGCUUAGAGAUCAUACAGAACACCGAUUGCGAAGGCAGCUUACCAAGCUACUUCUGACGCUGAAGCUCGAAAGCGCGGGUAUCGAACAGG
rnacentral:rRNA from 1 species